rnacentral:rRNA from 1 species
AACGAACGCUGGCGGCAGGCUUAACACAUGCAAGUCGAACGCACCGCAAGGUGAGUGGCAGACGGGUGAGUAACGCGUGGGAAUCUACCCAGAACUUCGGAACAACUGAGGGAAACUUCAGCUAAUACUGGAUACGCCCUACGGGGAAGGAUUAUCGGUUCUGGAUGAGCCCGCGUUGGAUUAGCUAGUUGGUGAGGUAAUGGCUCACCAAGGCGACGAUCCAUAGCUGGUCUGAGAGGAUGAUCAGCCACACUGGGACUGAGACACGGCCCAGACUCCUACGGGAGGCAGCAGUGGGGAAUAUUGGACAAUGGGCGGAAGCCUGAUCCAGCCAUGCCGCGUGAGUGAUGAAGGCCUUAGGGUUGUAAAGCUCUUUCAGUAGGGAAGAUAAUGACGGUACCUACAGAAGAAGCCCCGGCUAACUUCGUGCC